GAUGAACGCUGGCGGCGUGCCUAAUACAUGCAAGUCGAACGCAUAGCGAAAGGUGCUUGCACCUUUCACGUGAGUGGCGAACGGGUGAGUAACACGUGGACAACCUGCCUCAAGGCUGGGGAUAACAUUUGGAAACAGAUGCUAAUACCGAAUAAAACUUAGUGUCGCAUGACACAAAGUUAAAAGGCGCUUCGGCGUCACCUAGAGAUGGAUCCGCGGUGCAUUAGUUAGUUGGUGGGGUAAAGGCCUACCAAGACAAUGAUGCAUAGCCGAGUUGAGAGACUGAUCGGCCACAUUGGGACUGAGACACGGCCCAAACUCCUACGGGAGGCUGCAGUAGGGAAUCUUCCACAAUGGGCGAAAGCCUGAUGGAGCAACGCCGCGUGUGUGAUGAAGGCUUUCGGGUCGUAAAGCACUGUUGUAUGGGAAGAACAGCUAGAAUAGGAAAUGAUUUUAGUUUGACGGUACCAUACCAGAAAGGGACGGCUAAAUACGU
rnacentral:rRNA from 1 species